rnacentral:rRNA from 2 species
UGGGGAAUUUUGGACAAUGGGCGCAAGCCUGAUCCAGCCAUGCCGCGUGAGUGAAGAAGGCCUUCGGGUUGUAAAGCUCUUUCAGCCGGGAAGAAAACGCAUGGGUUAAUACCCUGUGUGGAUGACGGUACCGGAAUAAGAAGCACCGGCUAACUACGUG